AUAUCUUUUUCGGCCUUUUGGCUAAGAUAAAGUGUAGUAUGUGUUCUUAUCAGUUUAAUAUUUGAUACAUAGAACCACAUGAUAUCAAAUGUAUUUUUCUAGGCGGACGACCCACUCACAAUAGCUUGCUAUUGGGGCUCUCGGGCGUCGCUUGUGCAUUUCACUAUAGCACCAGCCUGGCGCACCCAAA
rnacentral:snRNA from 1 species